UUGCUACCAGGCGUCGAGCGGCGGACGGGUGAGUAAUACUUAGGAAUCUACCUAGUAGUGGGGGAUAGCACGGGGAAACUCGUAUUAAUACCGCAUACGUCCUACGGGAGAAAGGGGGCAACUUGUUGCUCUCGCUAUUAGAUGAGCCUAAGUCGGAUUAGCUAGAUGGUGGGGUAAAGGCCUACCAUGGCGACGAUCUGUAGCUGGUCUGAGAGGAUGAUCAGCCACACCGGGACUGAGACACGGCCCGGACUCCUACGGGAGGCAGCAGUGGGGAAUAUUGGACAAUGGGGGAAACCCUGAUCCAGCCAUGCCGCGUGUGUGAAGAAGGCCUUUUGGUUGUAAAGCACUUUAAGCAGUGAAGAAGACCUAACGGUUAAUACCCGUUAGCGAUGACAUUAGCUGCAGAAUAAGCACCGGCUAACUCUGUGCCAGCAGCCGCGGUAAUACAGAGGGUGCAAGCGUUAAUCGGAAUUACUGGGCGUAAAGCGAGCGUAGGUGGCUUGAUAAGUCAGAUGUGAAAUCCCCGGGCUUAACCUGGGAACUGCAUCUGAAACUGUUAGGCUAGAGUAGGUGAGAGGGAAGUAGAAUUUCAGGUGUAGCGGUGAAAUGCGUAGAGAUCUGAAGGAAUACCGAUGGCGAAGGCAGCUUCCUGGCAUCAUACUGACACUGAGGCUCGAAAGCGUGGGUAGCAAACAGGAUUAGAUACCCUGGUAGUCCACGCCGUAAACGAUGUCUACUAGUCGUUGGGUCCC
rnacentral:rRNA from 1 species